rnacentral:rRNA from 1 species
UAGGGAAUCUUCCGCAAUGGGCGAAAGCCUGACGGAGCAACGCCGCGUGAGUGAUGAAGGUCUUCGGAUCGUAAAACUCUGUUAUUAGGGAAGAACAAAUGUGUAAGUAACUAUGCACGUCUUGACGGUACCUAUUCAGAAAGCCACGGCUAACUACGUGCCAGCAGCCGCGGUAAUACGUAGGUGGCAAGCGUUAUCCGGAAUUAUUGGGCGUAAAGCGCGCGUAGGCGGUUUUUUAAGUCUGAUGUGAAAGCCCACGGCUCAACCGUGGAGGGUCAUUGGAAACUGGAAAACUUGAGUGCAGAAGAGGAAAGUGGAAUUCCAAGUGUAGCGGUGAAAUGCGCAGAGAUAUGGAGGAACACCAGUGGCGAAGGCGACUUUCUGGUCUGUAACUGACGCUGAUGUGCGAAAGCGUGGGGAUCAAACAGG